rnacentral:rRNA from 1 species
UACGGGAGGCAGCAGUAAGGGAUAUUGGUCAAUGGGGGGAACCCUGAACCAGCCAUGCCGCGUGAGGGAAUAAGGCCCUACGGGUCGUAAACCUCUUUUGCCGGGGGAUAAGGACGCCCANCGUGUGGGUGUUUGAAGGUACCGCGGAGAAUAAGCAUCGGCUAACUCCGUGCCAGCAGCCCGC